rnacentral:rRNA from 1 species
AGUGAACGCUGGCGGUAGGCCUAACACAUGCAAGUCGAACGGCAGCACAGUAAGAGCUUGCUCUUACGGGUGGCGAGUGGCGGACGGGUGAGGAAUACAUCGGAAUCUACUUUUUCGUGGGGGAUAACGUAGGGAAACUUACGCUAAUACCGCAUACGACCUACGGGUGAAAGCAGGGGAUCUUCGGACCUUGCGCGAUUGAAUGAGCCGAUGUCGGAUUAGCUAGUUGGCGGGGUAAAGGCCCACCAAGGCGACGAUCCGUAGCUGGUCUGAGAGGAUGAUCAGCCACACUGGAACUGAGACACGGUCCAGACUCCUACGGGAAGCAGCAGUGGGGAAUAUUGGACAAUGGGCGCAAGCCUGAUCCAGCCAUACCGCGUGGGUGAAGAAGGCCUUCGGGUUGUAAAGCCCUUUUGUUGGGAAAGAAAAGCAGCAGGUUAAUACCCCGAUGUUCUGACGGUACCCAAAGAAUAAGCACCGGCUAACUUCGUG